GAUGAACGCUGACAGAAUGCUUAACACAUGCAAGUCUACCAAGAAUCACUUCGGUGAGGAAUGGUGGCGGACGGGUGAGUAACGCGUAAAUAAUCUGCCCUUUAGACUGGGAUAUCCUUUGGAAACGAAGGUUAAUACCGGAUAUUAUGAGAUGGACGCAUGUUCAACUUAUGAAAGCUAAAUGCACUAGAGGAGGAGUUUGCGUCCCAUUAGCUAGUUGGUGAGGUAAAGGCUAAACAAGGCCACGAUGGGUAGCCGGCCUGAGAGGGUGAACGGCCACAAGGGAACUGAGACACGGUCCGUACUCCUACGGGAGGCAGCAGUGGGGAAUAUUGGACAAUGGACCAAAAGUCUGAUCCAGCAAUUCUGUGUGCACGAUGAAGGUCUUCGGAUUGUAAAGUGCUUUCAGUAGGGAAGAAAAAAAUGACGGUACCUACAGAAGAAGCGACGGCUAAAUAUGUGCCAGCAGCCGCGGUAACAC
rnacentral:rRNA from 1 species